rnacentral:sRNA from 1 species
UGAAAAAGGAGAAACAAAUUGAAGAAAAAAAACCAAAAAAAAAGAAUUUGUCACAAGAUGUUGAUAAUCGCCUGCUUCUUGGAACACCCUAACGAAAACAAAUCAUCUUCCCGAGAUCUCUUCUUGCCAACACACUCUACUGCGACGUCGUUUGGUUUCUCGUUACUCACAU